rnacentral:rRNA from 1 species
UACGUAGGGGGCAAGCGUUGUCCGGAUUUAUUGGGCGUAAAGAGCGUGUAGGCGGCCACGUAGGUCUGCCGUGAAAACUCGAGGCUUAACCUCGAGCUGUCGGCGGAAACCAUGUGGCUAGAGUCCGGAAGAGGAGAAUGGAAUUCCCGGUGUAGCGGUGAAAUGCGCAGAUAUCGGGAAGAACACCCGUGGCGAAGGCGGUUCUCUGGGACGGUACUGACGCUGAGACGCGAAAGCGUGGGGAGCGAACAGG